GUUCAGGACCUGGAGCACAUGCAGGCUGGGAUGGGGAAAAGAACCCUUUUCAUGCCUAAAGACAUGAUUCAUUCAGAGGUCUCUGACUUGUUUAAAAUGACAUAUCCAAAAAUGGAAAAAAUCACUGGAGGGUGGCUGUUGUACAAAGCAGCUGGUGGAAAUGGAAAACGACCUCUAUCUGUAGUACCUCCUGAAUCUGAGGGUUACACAGGAAGCAUAAUUAAAAGUGCCUCUGGAGGGGGGAAAACCAUGCUGUACAUUGUCCCAUUACAAGAGGAAUUUGAUUUACGGCCUCUUCCCUGUGAUUCUCAGGAAUUUUCACGCAUGCCAAAGGCUGAAUGCAAAAUGUGUCUUAAAAUUUUGCCUUUGCAGCUCCUUGCACUCCAUGUGAAGCAGUGUAAAGCA